AACGAACGCUGGCGGCAUGCCUAACACAUGCAAGUCGAACGAUCCCUUCGGGGGUUGUGGCGCACGGCUUCGUAACGCGUGGGAACCUGCCCUUAGGUUCGGAAUAACUCAGAGAAUUUGGAGCUAAUACCGGAUAAUGUCUUCUGACCAAGGAUUUAUCGCCUUUGGUUGGGCGCGCGUUGGAUUAGCUGGUGGGUAGGGUAAAGGCCUACCACGGCGACGAUCCAUAGCUGGUCUGAGAGGAUGGUCAGCCACUCUGAGAGUGAGAAACGGCCCAGAAUCCUACGGGAGGGAGGAGUGGGGGAUAUUGCAACAUGGGGGAAGGCAUGAUGGAGCAAUGCCGCGUGAGUGAUGAAGGCAUUAGGGUUGUAAAGCUCUUUUAACCAGGAUGGUAAUGACGGUACCGGAAGAAUAAGCCCCGGCUAACUACGUG
rnacentral:rRNA from 1 species